AACGAACGCUGGCGGCAUGCCUAACACAUGCAAGUCGAACGAGACCUUCGGGUCUAGUGGCGCACGGGUGCGUAACGCGUGGGAACCUGCCCUUAGGUUCGGAAUAACUCCCCGAAAGGGGUGCUAAUACCGGAUAAUGUCUUCGGACCAAAGAGUUAUCGCCUUUGGAUGGGCCCGCGUUGGAUUAGCUAGUUGGUAGGGUAAAAGCCUACCAAGGCGACGAUCCAUAGCUGGUCUGAGAGGAUGAUCAGCCACACUGGGACUGAGACACGGCCCAGACUCCUACGGGAGGCAGCAGUGGGGAAUAUUGGACAAUGGGCGAAAGCCUGAUCCAGCAAUGCCGCGUGAGUGAUGAAGUCCUUAGGGUUGUAAAGCUCUUUUACCCGGGAUGAUAAUGACAGUACCGGGAGAAUAAGCUCCGGCUAACUCCGUG
rnacentral:rRNA from 1 species